rnacentral:rRNA from 1 species
AACGCGAAGAACCUUACCUGGGCUUGACAUCCCGAUCGCACCCCUUAUGGAAACAAAGGGGGCAGUUCGGCUGGAUCGGGGACAGGCGCUGCAGGGCUUUCGUCAGCUCGUUUCGUGAGAUUUUGGGUUAAGUCCCCCAAAGAGCGCAACCCUUGUCCUUAGUUGCCAGCAUUAAUUUGGGCACUCUAAGAGAGACUGCCGGUGUACAAACCGGAGAAAGGUGGGGAUGACGUCAAAUCAUCAUGGCCCUUAUGUCCAGGGCUACACACCUGCUACAAUGGCCGGUACAAAAGGGUCGCAAAACCGCGAGGUGAAGCAAAUCCCAAAAAACCGUUCUCAGUCCGGAUUGCAGUCUGCAACUCGCCUCCCAUGAAGCUGGAUUCGCUGUAAUCGGCUAUCAGCAUGACGCGGUGAAUACGUUCCCGGGCCUUGUACACACCG